rnacentral:lncRNA from 1 species
ACAAACCUCUGAAUGAGAUCAGAGGAAGAAAAAAGUUCUUUCAAACAUCGAGGGUAAGGAGAAGAAGAAAACUAGACUUGUCUCGAAGGUUUUUUUUUUCAGAAACAUAAAAAGUUCAAAAUAUAUAAAAAAUAAUAUUGUCUGGAUAUUCUAAAGAUUUCUUUUUAAAAACAUCUUAUGUUUGUUAAAACCGUUACUUUGAGUAUAAAAUAAUUAUGAUGAUAAAUAAUUAAGAAAUAUUGAGAUUGGGAAAUUUAGUAAAUUUAUAUAUACCAAAGUGUAUUUUUCUAGAAAAUUAAA